CAGUUCGGAUUGUAGUCUGNAACCCGACUACAUGAAGCUGGAAUCGCUAGUAAUCGCGAAUCAGCAUGUCGCGGUGAAUACGUUCCCGGGUCUUGUACACACCGCCCGUCACACCAUGGGAGUUGGUAACGCCCGAAGUCAGUGACCUAACCGCAAGGGAGGAGCUGCCGAAGGUGGGGCCAGUGACUGGGGUGAAGUCGUAACAAGGUACC
rnacentral:rRNA from 1 species